AAUCAUUUCCUCCCAGAGAAUUGAUUGUAGUAAUGUUUCUUUUUUUCUGACAGUGCUUCAUGGCUGUUAGUGGUGUUUCUUUCUUUCUUAUGAAUAAUGCUAAGAUCUUCCAAUCCCAUCUAGAGCCAGUGAAUUGGCUAACACAUGGGCUGAUGUUUACUUGAACAGGCCUUUCUAGGUGGCAGCCAAUUUGCCUACAGUUCAGGGUAUAAUAAUUAGGCCAUGGAUGUCUGAACUCAAUUCAACUUUUUUUUUUGGAUUGGUAUACUAGGAAGGUGAAGGGGAAGGGGCGUUGGCUGGGCCGUUUAUUUGCAUUGGAGUUCGAGAAUCCUAAAGCACCUACAUUUUUAGUAUAUCUUAGUUCAUUUUUUUGAAUCUAUUGUUGGACAAAGAAAUAAUGUUUGGGAUUUAUGGCAUAAGUGUUUGGGACAUCAUCAUUUUGAAAAAUUGAUAACUUUGUUUGACUUUGGUUCUACUAAAAAUAAAAUUCCUUCUUUACUUUUGAUA